rnacentral:rRNA from 1 species
UGGGGAAUAUUGGACAAUGGGCGCAAGCCUGAUCCAGCCAUGCCGCGUGAGUGAUGAAGGCCUUAGGGUUGUAAAGCUCUUUUACCUGGGAAGAUAAUGACGGUACCAGGAGAAUAAGCCCCGGCUAACUUCGUGCCAGCAGCCGCGGUAAUACGAAGGGGGCUAGCGUUGUUCGGAUUUACUGGGCGUAAAGCGCACGUAGGCGGAUUUUUAAGUCAGAGGUGAAAUCCCAAGGCUCAACCUUGGAAC